rnacentral:lncRNA from 1 species
UUAGAAUACUGUCUUCUUUUUAGAUUGUAUACAAAGUGUUACCGAAGUAUAGAAGAACACAGAAAAACUUGAAUAAUAAAACAUACUUUCAAAUGAAAAUGAUAUUUAUACUGCCAUCCAUUUUUGUGGGUUAUCUUAUCUUAUUCUGAGGAACAAAUACUUGUUUUUAGCACUUUCUCAGAACCACAAAUUCGUCCAGAGAAUGUCCUCAGUGAGUGAAGGUAGCCGCAGUUAGGGCUGAUGAGCUCAUCUGGGAGACCCAAAGUCCUCACGUGAGUUCAUUUUCCUCUCCGUUUCCUGUGUGUACUACUGUUUCUAAUGUGUGCCACUGUAGGUGAAGCUAGUGGUCUCCAAUAUCAAGAGGCCUGGUGAUUCUGUUGUGGGAAAUUUGGUCAUUUGCAAAGGCACUGUGACCAAGCUGCUCAGAAGGUCUCAGAUCUCAAAAUAUCUGGUGCAUUAAUUGUGAGAAAUACUGUACUUGCUUCAUAAAACAUUUGUUCAGGGUCAAAGCAUCUCUAAGGGUAAUGGCUUUUGUUAAUAUAAACCAGAAAAACAGCCUAGGCUUCCAGAUGUGUGCAGGCAAUGUGUGUGCAGGCAAUGUGGCAAGUGUUGCCAUUGGACCCCUAAGUGUAGGUCCAGCAGAGAUAUCCAAGGCAAUUUUCUUAUCAUUGAAAAAUGCAAGACCUGGUCUGAGGUCUUGCAGCCAAAAAGUACGAGGUGUGUGUUUCUUGUAAGCCAUGAAAUAAUAAUCAGGCAGAAAACCUUCGAUUAAUAUUGCAGAUCUAGUGCAUGCUACUGCAAAGUAGCAUGCAAGCACUGCUGCAUGUGCUUCUAGUGCAAGUACUGCUGUAGACUUGGCCAUAUAUAAACAUCUUACUCUACCCCCCAAAAUUUAAUGUUACAAAAUAUCUACAGGGUUUAUGGUCCUUUACCUGCUAGGACAGUAGGAAUGACUUAGGAAAGGAGUGGAUUGACUUUCCAAAGGUCCAUUGUGCAUCCAGGAAUUAUAGAUGAAGAUUUCAAAGAGGAAAUUAAAAUUAUGGCCUAUGUAAAAAAUGAGAUGCAUUUUAAUGCAGGUGAUAGGAUUGCUUGGCUGCUACUGUUUCCCUAUAUCAAAGCCAGACCUGCACUAGUAGAAAAAACAGAAGGGGUUGAAAGUACUGGGAAACAUGUGUUCUGGCGAACAGUUGUUUAUGAUGAGAGGUCAAAAUUAAAAUAGCAGGUAAAUGGUAUUGAAAUAGAAGGUUUGGUGGGUAGAGGAGCAGAUAUAACUAUUAUUUUACAAAGGUCUUGGAAUUCAUAGUGACCCACUUUAAAAAGUUUAUACACAGUUUCUGGGAAUUGGGAAGUUACUAAAAAAGAAGUGUGAGAUGGCUUAAAUGUGUGGGACCAGAAGGUUAAAUUAGGAAAGUUACGACCUUAUGUGGCUGAUAUACCCGCACAUUUAUGGUGAAUGGAUCUUUUACAACAUUUGGGUACUCAGUAUAAUAUUCCUGCAUUUCCAGAGAGCACCCCUGAUGAAAUUAGGGGUGAAAUGGUAGAUGUUCUUGGGGAAGGCAUUGACACACACACACACACAAACACACACACACACACACACACACACACACAUCCAUAUAUAUCUAUAUCUAUCUCAGUCAUGAAAACCAACCCCAGGCCGUGUCAGUUGUCCAAACACGUCAUCACAGGGAUGGAGUUUCCAAAUUUGUAAACAAAGCCACUGCUGAAAUUAUAUCAAUGGCCCUACCCUUAAAGUGGUUGGCUGACAAGGCUAUGUGAGUAGAUCAGUGACCCUUAACUAAAGAGUACGUUACAGGCAGUAGAGUAGCUGGUACAAGAGCAGCUGAAGAUGUGCUUGCUUUGGCAGUACAUAUACUAAAGAGCAGCUGCAGGCUCAACAGAGUCUACCAGCCCAUGGAGCCCUCUGUGUUUGUUAUAAAAGAGAAAUCAGGAAAAUGGAGGAUGUUAACAGAUUUAAGAGCAGUGAAUAGACUAAUUCAACCAAUGGAUUCGUUACAGCCUAGAUUUCCUUUACCUUCUUUAUUACCUAAGCCAUGACCUAUGAUACUAAUUAAUUUAAGAGAGUGCUUUCUUAUCCCCUUGCAAGAGCAAGAUAGGGAAUGGUUUGCUUUAAUAGGGCCUACUUACAAUAAUAGUGGUCCAGUAAAAAGGUGUCAGUGGAAAGUUCUUCCACGAGGAAUAUUCCAACUUCAUGCCAAUAUUUUGUGCUACAACUGUUAGAAAUAAUUUGUAAGCAAUUUUCUCAAUUCAUCAUUUAUCAUUACAUGGAUUUUUUUUGGGGGGGGGGCUAAUUCUGAUGCAGAUACUUUAGAUGAAAUAUUUAAGGAAGCGUAAAGAAUUCUGCCAUGCAUGGGUUUAUGGAUUGUUUCUGAAAAAUUACAGAGAGGAGAUUCUAUUGACUAUUUCUGUUAUGAAAUAACAGAAAAUUCAACCACAAAAGUUACAAAUCAGAAAGAUCAGUUGCAAACUCUUAUUGAUUUUCAAAAAUUAAUGGUAAAUAUUAUUAGGCUAUAGCCUACCAUUAGAUUAACUACUCAAGAGUUAAUCCAAUUUGUUUCAAAUUGUUAAGUAAUUUAAGAAAUUUGUUUUAAAUUACUUAAAUUUGUUUUAAAUGUACAAUAUAAUUGAUUUAAUUAUAGUAAUUAUACAGUUAUUUUGAUGUAUUGGUAUAUUUGCAUAUUAAACACACAAUUAAUUAACUGUAUAAGUAAUAGAAUAAAUUGGACUUAAAACAGGC